rnacentral:rRNA from 1 species
UACGUAGGGUCCGAGCGUUGUCCGGAAUUACUGGGCGUAAAGAGCUCGUAGGUGGUUUGUCGCGUUGUUCGUGAAAACUCACAGCUCAACUGUGGGCGUGCGGGCGAUACGGGCAGACUUGAGUACUGCAGGGGAGACUGGAAUUCCUGGUGUAGCGGUGGAAUGCGCAGAUAUCAGGAGGAACACCGGUGGCGAAGGCGGCAUCCUGGACCGGCAUUGACGCUGAUGAGCGAAAGCUAGGGGAGCAAACGGG